rnacentral:lncRNA from 1 species
CUGGAUAAUCUCUUAUAUUGCCAUGUUUAUGAAAGAAAAAAAACUUGUACAAACUCUCGUAAAUCUAACCGAGCUAAACUCUCGUACAUCUCCCCCUCCUGAAGACAUCCACUGGAAAAACAAAAAUUUAAUUAAAAAAAAAACUAGACGGAACUCAACAAUUCAGGCUGAUGGAUUCAAUAACGAAAAAAAUGUCCAUUUCAGAACAAACUACAUGUGGAUGGCAGAAGCUGACCAUGCUCGAUUAUUUUAACAAAUCUAUUGGCAAGACAUUCGACUGCCAUUUUGGAAGCCUCAGAAAUCCAUCUGCAAAUACUGCAUUCCACUGUCUCUGUGUCAUUUGUGCUUAGGCCGCUGCUUGAGCUUCUGCAGUAAAAGGUAUUGGCUUGGUUGGGGCAGGUAGGCGACCGAUGCUAUCAACCUUAUCUCGCUGCUUUGGUGGGGGCCUGGCAGCUCUUGGUAAGAGGCGUCCCUUCUUGGCAAACCACUCAGGCUUGAGCAGUGCCUGGAA